rnacentral:rRNA from 1 species
GACGAACCGUGCGAACGUUGUUCGGAAUCACUGGGCGUAAAGGGCGCGUAGGCGGCCGAUCAAGUCGGGGGUGAAAGCCUGUGGCUCAACCACAGAAUGGCCUUCGAUACUGUUUGGCUUGAGACCGGAAGAGGUCAGUGGAACUGCGAGUGUAGAGGUGAAAUUCGUAGAUAUUCGCAAGAACACCAGUGGCGAAGGCGGCUGACUGGUCCGGUUCUGACGCUGAGGCGCGAAAGCGUGGGGAGCAAACAGG